rnacentral:rRNA from 1 species
AUUGAACGCUGGCGGCAUGCCUUACACAUGCAAGUCGAACGGCAGCGGGCCUUCGGGUGCCGGCGAGUGGCGAACGGGUGAGUAAUGCAUCGGAACGUGCCAUUGAGUGGGGGAUAACGUAGCGAAAGUUACGCUAAUACCGCAUAUUCUGUGAGCAGGAAAGCAGGGGAUCGCAAGACCUUGCGCUCUGGGAGCGGCCGAUGUCGGAUUAGCUAGUUGGUGGGGUAAAGGCCUACCAAGGCGACGAUCCGUAGCGGGUCUGAGAGGAUGAUCCGCCACACUGGGACUGAGACACGGCCCAGACUCCUACGGGAGGCAGCAGUGGGGAAUUUUGGACAAUGGGCGCAAGCCUGAUCCAGCCAUGCCGCGUGAGUGAAGAAGGCC